GUAGGUGGCAAGCGUUGUCCGGAAUUAUUGGGCGUAAAGCGCGCGCAGGGCGGUCCUUUAAGUCUGAUGUGAAAGCCCACGGCUCAACCGUGGAGGGUCAUUGGAAACUGGGGGACUUGAGUACAGAAGAGGAAAGCGGAAUUCCAAGUGUAGCGGUGAAAUGCGUAGAGAUUUGGAGGAACACCAGUGGCAAGGCGGCUUUCUGGUCUGUAACUGACGCUGAGGCGCGAAAGCGUGGGGAGCAAACAGGAUUAGAUACCCUGGUAGUCCACGCCGUAAACGAUGAGUGCUAAGUGUUAGGGGGUUUCCGCCCCUUAGUGCUGCAGCUAACGCAUUAAGCACUCCGCCUGGGGAGUACGGCCGCAAGGCUG
rnacentral:rRNA from 1 species